AACGAGGAAGCCGGUGUGAAUCCGGCGCGGUCCCGCCACUGUGAUCGGCGAGCGAUUCCCGACAGGCCACUGCCCGAGGAUGGGUGGGAAGGCCGGGAGGAGCAUCGACCCGAGAGCCAGGAGACUC
rnacentral:ncRNA from 1 species